AGCGGCGGACGGGUGAGUAACGCGUGGGUAACCUGCCCUAUACACACGGAUAACAUACCGAAAGGUAUGCUAAUACGAGAUAAUAUAAGAGAUUCACAUGGAUUUCUUAUCAAAGCUGAGGCGGUAUAGGAUGGACCCGCGUCUGAUUAGCUAGUUGGUAAGGUAACGGCUUACCAAGGCGACGAUCAGUAGCCGACCUGAGAGGGUGAUCGGCCACAUUGGAACUGAGACACGGUCCAAACUCCUACGGGAGGCAGCAGUGGGGAAUAUUGCACAAUGGGUGAGAGCCUGAUGCAGCAACGCCGCGUGAGUGAUGAAGGCCUUCGGGUCGUAAAACUCUGUCCUCAAGGAAGAUAAUGACGGUACUUGAGGAGGAAGCCCCGGCUAACUACGUGCCAGCAGCCGCGGUAAUACGUAGGGGGCUAGCGUUAUCCGGAUUUACUGGGCGUAAAGGGUGCGUAGGUGGUCUCUUAAGUCAGGAGUGAAAGGCUACGGCUUAACCGUAGUAAGCUCUUGAAACUGGGAGACUUGAGUGCAGGAGAGGAAAGUGGAAUUCCUAGUGUAGCGGUGAAAUGCGUAGAUAUUAGGAGGAACACCAGUAGCGAAGGCGGCUUUCUGGACUGUAACUGACACUGAGGCACGAAAGCGUGGGGAGCAAACAGGAUUAGAUACCCUGGUAGUCCACGCCGUAAACGAUGAGUACUAGGUGU
rnacentral:rRNA from 1 species